rnacentral:rRNA from 1 species
GGUCCCACCUGACCCCAUGCCGAACUCAGCAGUGAAACGCCGUAGCGCCGAUGGUAGUGUGGGGUCUCCCCAUGUGAGAGUAGGACACUGCCAGGC